UACGUAGGGUGCAAGCGUUGUCCGGAAUUAUUGGGCGUAAAGAGCUCGUAGGCGGUCUGUCGCGUCGGCUGUGAAAACCCGGAGCUCAACUCCGGGCCUGCAGUCGAUACGGGCAAACUGGAGUGUUGCAGGGGAGACUGGAAUUCCUGGUGUAGCGGUGAAAUGCGCAGAUAUCAGGAGGAACACCGGUGGCGAAGGCGGGUCUCUGGGCAACAACUGACGCUGAGGCACGAAAGUGUGGGGAUCAAACAGG
rnacentral:rRNA from 1 species